CGCUCCAUCCCCGCCCUACCGCCUCCUCCCCUCAUCGCCGCCCCUCGCCAGCCGUCCGUCCUGCACGCAGACUCUCGCUGCCGACCCUGUCUAGUCUGCCCACAGACCCUCCGCUCCCUCCCCGCCGUCCUUCACUUCUGCCCCUGCCGCCCCUCUCUCUUGCAGCGGAGCAGAAGCGGAAGCGCCGGGAGAAGAUCAACCGACGAUUCAUUGAGCUAUCCACCGUCAUCCCCGGCCUCAAUAAGAUGGACAAGGCGAUGAUCCUUUCGGACACCAUGAAGUACGCAGUAGCAGGAAAAUCUCAAGGCACUCGAGGACGCAACGUCCAGCUCCAGAGCAUCCAGUCCGCGGUGCUCGUCAGGAAGUUGUGCACAGCUGCGCCGGAAGACGCCGGCGGCUGCUGCCUGUCAUCUUCUGCAGCGGCCGUAGCUGGAAGCACGACGCCGACGACCGGGAAAGUGCUGCUGGAGGCGAGAAGGACAGCUGGAGUCGCCGCCGUCGCUUAUGGAGCUCCACACCAUUGCCCAGUUGUACAAUAGUAUGUGCAAUCUUCUCCAUUCAAGACUAAGUGCAAAUGGUGAACUCUUGCCAAACAAGAAGAUAUGAGGAUCAGGCAUAUAGGCCCCCAUAAGGAACAUGGAGAGAUGAAUCUGGGCGAUUGUAGCCACAAGGUAAAUUUGCUACAUGGGAAGAUUCCUCAAUGGCAACAAUACACCAUGAUAGUGAUAAUGAUAUACAUCCUAUGCUGAACAAGAGCAAGACAGAAAAGAGUAAAAGAUUCUCUCCGAAGUAAUUACGGAUCCUUCCAGUGAUUUUCAAUUCCAAGUAAUAAAGAAUAUAAGGUUACAAUUCAUCACCUAAAAAAACAGAUCUUUGUAGUCAUAGUAAUGUCUUCUCCAAUUGACCAUACCCUUAAGCAUUUGAUGAAAGUGGAUAUAUCAUCAAGAGCCUUGCAAGCAAAUUUAUCUACAAUAGGAAACACACGAUGAUGACAUAUCAGUUAUUCCAAAUCACCAUAUGAAAUGUUUAAUGUUUACUUCCCCUUGUAACGUUAGCUUAUCUAGCAAAUAUCUGUUAUUCUAUACAUCUGAUUGAUAAGUUUCAAAUAGUACAGGAACCAGAUAUCCAGAUAUAAUUAGAGUAGGGACCGACAUUAAUUAAACCUCUUGACAUGCUCAUUUGAAAGUCAAGUAUAUUUAUGCAGCAAUGCCUUAUUAGUCCUACAGAAGAUACCAUUACUGCUGCUCAUAGGAAGAGAUAUUACACCAUCAGUUGAGUUUAGCUAAAUCUGCAGUUUUCGUUACAAUGCAUGAAUCUUAUUUAUCUUGCUUCAAAUGAACAAACAAGAGAGGAUGAAGUACCCAUCUUCCAGUCAUCUGGCAAGCAACAGUCCAGUGCAUAUUGCAGACCUUCUUAGCAAGCAUCAUCGAGUGCCAUUGUAUCUUGAAUAACACAAUUGUACAGGGAUCUUGAAUAGCACAUCAAACAGAGGCACGCCUAAUUGAAAUUACAUUGGUACAUUAGUACACGGUAAACUGCACAAUACGAAUUAAAAUUUAAGUGCAAAGAUAGGAUAAUCCAGAGUUGACACGAAGUAAUGUCGAAGGACUAAGAUCAAAUCAGAAUUAAUCCUGACAGUCAAUACAGCAAUGAGAAUUCAUUUCACAAUAACAUAGCUCAUACCAGUGGAGGCAUCGAACUGUGCCCAUAUAUUUUUGCGCACCCACGCCCGCUCCUUGUUGUCUUGUUGCGGGCAUCCGCGCUGGGUCGCCCGUGAGCAUGCUGAGCUCGAGCGCAUCCUUCGGCACUUCGGCGAGCGGAUUCGAAGAGGGACGGGGAAGAGCAGGGGCGUGGAAGUCUCGCACCUCCGACGGAGCCUAGCGCUGGGAUGCUCCCGUGCAUGCCGAGCUCGGGGACCUCCUCGGCCACUUGGGCGGCCGGAUUCGACGAAAAGGCGGGGAAGAGCAGGGGUUGCAAACCUCUUGCUGGCGGUGGGUACGAAGGGGAGGGGUGGCCCGAGGAGGCGGGGAGAGGGAGCUGGCGACGACCAAGGAAGAAUGGGGAACGACGGGGAGAAAUGUGAGGGCCGGUGGGAUAUUUUUUUUUUUUGAGGUGAAGCGGUGGGUGAGUAGGUAGGUGACGGUCCAUUGAUAUGGGCCAGAAAAUUACCAAAAGUCCGAUCAAUCCAGCCAGCCGUUCGUCUGAUGCCCGAUGCCUUAGCGCUCGGCUGAGUUUCCUGCUAUUUAGCGAUUGCGUUCUUGAAUCGGAAACCAAGCUAGCUGCUAGGUAGGCAACGAAUGAAUCAUAUCCAAAAUUAAAGUAUUUGUAAAGGUGUAGUUAGAUUUCAGUUGACUUAGACUAAGUUGAGUGAUAUUAGCAUGUUUUUUUUUUAAAUCACCUUUUUUAUUUGGAUUUAUGUUUUCUAAAUUUGAAUACAUGAAUAUAUUUGUCAUUUUUUCAAUCGAGACUCAAUAAUUAUUUUUAUCUCUCUAAAAACAAUCCAAUAUUUUAUUAUCCCUCUAAAAAUAUAAUGAAGACCGAGGAGGAUCUCCUCGAUAAAAAUUACCUAUGUACAUUAAUAUCAGACAUUUUUCAGUUUAGUUUACAGAGGGCGUAGUACAUAAUGUUGUUUAGUUGUUGUUUUUAAAAAAAUAAUGUAACAAAUUAUAAUAAAAUUAUGUGAUCGUGAAGUUUUUGUGAAGACAUGUUUGUCGGUUGUGUAUUACACGCGCGCUCUUAUUGUUGGGCAUGAGACAUAUUUCGAUGGCUCGGUUACUAAAAAUAAGAUUUAAAAUGGAAUUUUAUAAAUUAUGAUACGUGCGUUGCACGUGCACGCUUACUAGUAUAUAAAAGCUUGCAUUCUUGAGUCAGGUUGCAUUUACUCGCCAGUGGAAACAUAGCUUGAGUUUUUCUUAUAGCCACUGAAGUCUGAUAUCUGCACACAGCAAUGUCCACAUGAUCAAGUUUGCUGAAACAAAAUGUCUCUGCACACAACAUUGCUAGUGUGAUAACAUUUGCAAAGUAAACUUAUCACUACAAGGUCAUAUAAACAAUCGAGUUUAUCUUGUUAAUCCUUCGGAACCAAAAGUAGCGAUUGCAAAAUGAUGGUCUAAAUUGACAUUCACCAGUCUACAUGCUUUAUUUUGCCCUCUUCUAAAUCAGCAUACCCCUCUUGUGUACUUGACUGAGGACUACAAUUACGAUGUACACAGAUGCUUAUUAUGACCGAUCCCUCUCUAUGCGCCUUAGUUUAUAUUCAAUCUCAAGCUGGCCAACACGAAUCUACAAUAAAAGUGAAUGCAGUUACUUCUUCGGCUACUCGGUAUGAUGCUGCGACUCAAGUCAUAAUACUGGAAAAUACAUGGUCGCCUCCUCAUUUCAUCACAUAAUGCUACCGGUAGGCUGAAAUCAUGAUGCUAGCAAAUACUCCCUCCAUCCCAAAAUAAGUGUGUCAACUUUGUACUAACUUUGUACCAACUAUAUUAAAGUUGGUACAAAGUUGAGUCACUUAUUUUUGGAUGGAGGGAGUACAUGGUUGCCUCAUCUCAUCAAAUAAUGGUAGUGGUAUUAAAGCAAUUAUCUCCCAAGACUCAAGUAUGAAUCCACACAAAUGGCAAUUGAGACCCACUAUCAGUUUCAUUCGCCAGCAGGGAUACAUGAACGGUGCUAUCUUCAGACGUAUUUUUAGAAAUCAAUACAAGAAAGUGCACAACUUAGCUAGGAACACUACUUCUUCCAGAUCCUUCUGUAUUUCUUGUAUGAAUUAUUGUGAUGUUUCUUGCCCAUUCAAUCAUGUUUUUAGCAGUGACAUGUAUUAACAUAACAAUCUCAAAUGUAAUAUGUUGCUCACAAGAAAUAUCCCUAGAGGGAGCUUCUCCUUAAAAUAAUAUUGCAAAUGAUAAUAUUUUUCUGCCAAUCUUACUGGAAACCAUAAUCAUGAUAUGCAAACGGCAACUUAUAGGGAGUGAGAACAGAUACCUAGGACCUUUAGUUGUGGAAGGAAGCAACAUUGGUGGUGGCUCCCACGUCCUUGGAGAAAGUGAAAGAAGGACUCCCAAAUUUCCUUGUUCAUUGUUCGAGGGCUGCUUGGAAGGGAGGUACUUUAAAAAUUAGUCAACAAUAAUACUUGUGCUAUUUGAUUCAUAUCAACUCACUGCACAACAAAAAAUUGCAAUAAAAACAGAGAACAAGAAAAUGAGUAUUCUUAUUGUGGUAUCUAGAAACUUGUUCUCCCAGUGGAAAACCUGCAUGCAUCGAAACAUAGGACAUCCUGGUGAACAAUUCGAAUAAUAUUCUUAUUGUAGUAUAGUAAGAGCAGAACAUAGGAUACAAACCUGUAGGGUUGGACUUUUGCAUUGCAGAGACUACAUGUGCUUAUACAAGUUCUUAAACCUCCUAGAAAAAGGUACUUGCAUUGGACAAGGUAUCUUUAAUUAUGAUGUUUGAAGUUUGAUGACUCCCCGUAUUCUCGCUUUAAUCACCCACGGAGUUGUAAGAGGUUCCUGCAUUGGACGGUGCACCGAAAGAAUCUAAACAUUGGAAGUAAAAUAUUGUCUCCAGCCAGAUUACUAGCAGUUUACUGAUUCACUUUUAUGUAGAAGUUAUGUCUUGUAUGAGCAGAUUGGGGUGGGUAAUGGGUCAUAGAAAUUUCAACACUACAUCUAAGUGAUACAGAAUUAGCUCAUUAAAUAACUAUGGUUCCCAUUGAUGCACAAGAGAAUGGUCACAAAUAACAUGCGCGAAUGUAAUCAUCAUUCCCACCGCGUCUUGAUUACCAGUCACAAUAUGAUGCAAUGAAAAUUUGCAUGAAGGAACAAAACAAUUGAUGUUUCUGAUCUAACGCAAAAUAUGUAUCCCCUCAUUCAAGAAUGGCCAUCUUGAACCAUAAGGAUGUGCAGAUUCGCUAUUCUCCAACCCAAUGGAAAACGCUGAAGCUAAUCAAAAUCAGCAGCAGACGGCAGUCACCGCUCUCAUGACUUUUCACGGGCGCGACAUGAACAGCAAGCGUCAAACACCUCGCUGCAUAUGGAAUCAAAGGACGCAUGAGGGAAAAUAGGUACACCGGUAGCAGAGCGGCGCUCACCUCGGGGUCCUCGAGCGGCUGCGCGCCGGAUACCUCGUUGCCCUCAACGUCGAACCAGUCGACGGUCGGCACGGUGCGGAUCAGACGCUGCCUGGCCUCUCGGUGCUCCUCGUCCUCGUCCUCGUCCUCGUAGUCGACGUUGUCCUCCUCGUCCCCGGACUCCCGCGGUGAAGGGCGGCUCGGGUGGCGAAGGGCGUGGCGGGCGGCUCCGGCGGUGAAGGGCGUGGCUGGCGGCUCUGGCGGCUAACGGCUGCGAGAGGAACGGUGGGGCGGCGAACGGCGCGAGAGGAGGUGGAGGGGCCGAGAGGUCGAGGUCGUGCGGGCGGGACGAGAGGACAUGGGGCGAGCGUUGUUUGCUUUUUUCUGAACGGCGGGGCAGGGUUAUCGAUGGAAGGAUAGUUAGUGGCUUAAUGCGUGGUUUGUAGCGUUAGCCAUGGAAGUUUUAAGGGCCAUUAGAUCUUGUUGAUGGAUGGGUCUGAUUGUUUGGAUCUUCCCCCUCUCUUCUUUUUAUAGGGGUAGUAGAUGAACAACAUAUGGAUGGAAAACAUUCACCCAACGCGCUAGUUUACUUACUACUGCUUUAUUCUAGAUUAUAACAUGUAUGGAAACAUAUGGAAAUCCAAACAAACGAUUUAUUUUGUAGCAGCUUAUUCUAGAUUACAGCAUGUGAUCUUCCGAAGCAUACAAAGUGAUAAAUGAGAAAGGAGUUAUAUUGGUGUAACAAACAAUAGACAGACAAUAGUUGCUUCAGGGAACAACAAUACACAGCUCGAUGUUAAUCAUUUAUUAUUUCUAAUUGUGAAUAAAAAUGUGCUCCAUCAACAUGACAGUUUAAUUGAUGGCGUUUUGGUAAAAAAAUCUAUCUUAUUGACAACAUGGAGUUUUUGUGACGACACAACCCCCAGAUAGAAUGCAUGAAUCUAACAACCGCAUCUGUUAUGUGUGACCUGAUAACCAUUAUAAAUUGUCCAGCUGUUCUGAAACAAGUAUGUGUGCUUUGUCCUACUAGUUGUGCUGCCAAGUUCUCAUAUGAAGAAACGGAAUGCUAGAGUAAGUGCUGAGAGAAUGGAGGAAACCAAAGAGAGCGGUAUUAUUUACGAACCAAGGCACGUCAUGCAUGACUGGAGAGUUCUUGGGUUUUGUUUUUGCAGAUUGUUGACUAUAUACAUACAAUUUUUGUUACAUUUUCAACCAUAUGGAAAAAGAAGGCAAUAGUAGCAAGGAGCUGCAGCAUAUUACAACCACAAUUACAUCUUUCGAAGAUACAUCAAUGGCUAGACGGCAAGCGACAAACGAGUUCUUACAAUAUCAAACAAUCUCUUUAAGACCAGAGAUGUAAGUCACAUGGCCAAGCAUAAAUAAAUGAAGAGAUCACGUACUUUUUUUGGAACUAACAAUGCUUUACAAUCACAGAGCACUAGCAUGUACCACUUAGCUAUCACCUAUUGUUGGUCUGAUCAUUUUAAAAUUGCACUAUCAUGGCUCAUAUCAAUGUUUGUUGCUUCCGGAGAUUAACUUCCUGGAAAUAAUUGGGAGAAAAGGACAUGUUGCCAUUGUUAUCAGUCAUCAUGUUUGUCUCCAGUUGUACAAUCAACAAAUGGUUGCCUUUUGUUCCUUCUCAAUGAAGGAAACAAUCUCAGUUCUAAAGACAAAAGU